UACGGAGGGUGCAAGCGUUAUCCGGAUUCACUGGGUUUAAAGGGUGCGUAGGUGGGCAAGUAAGUCAGUGGUGAAAUCUCCGGGCUUAACCCGGAAACUGCCAUUGAUACUAUUUGUCUUGAAUACUGUGGAGGUCAGCGGAAUAUGUCAUGUAGCGGUGAAAUGCGUAGAUAUCUGGAGGAACACCGGUGGCGAAGGCGGCAUCCUGGACCAUAACUGACGCUGAGGCGCGAAAGCUAGGGGAGCAAACGGG
rnacentral:rRNA from 1 species